UACGUAGGGCGCAAGCGUUAUCCGGAAUUAUUGGGCGUAAAGAGCUCGUAGGCGGCUUGUCGCGUCUGCCGUGAAAGUCCGGGGCUCAACUCCGGAUCUGCGGUGGGUACGGGCAGACUAGAGUGAUGUAGGGGAGACUGGAAUUCCCGGUGUAGUGGUGAAAUGCGUAGAUAUCGGGAGGAACACCAGUGGCGAAGGCGACUUCCUGGCCUGUUCUUGACGCUGAGGCGCGAAAGCUAGGGUAGCAAACGGG
rnacentral:rRNA from 1 species